UCGGUGUUGGGGACACGGGAGCUUUUCCUCUUAACCGACUGGCCCCAGAUUUCUCUGUCUGCCUGGAGCCAAGUCCCAGUCGCCAUGAGGGGUCUCUUACGGGAGACCUAUUUUUGCGUGCGUGGUUGGAGGCGCGUCCUGCACCUCUCAGACUUUCGGGAGGGCCCAGGUUCACACUGACAAAUGAAGGAACCAACACUUGCCCCUCUCCUGACUACCCUGUGGCACUCAGAGCAGCCAAAUCCAGGUACAAAUAUCCCAUCACGAGAUAUCCCAGCUUGAUGUCCAUCGGCUGGAGGUUACCAGGCCUCGUCCUUGACAAGGCUUAAUCAGCCUGCCACCUGAACCUGCAGCCCACCAGGGAGCACUCAUUCCAGGAGAGGUGGAAACCGAGGUCCAAGGAGGCAAUGCCAGAACGAGGCACAAAAUGAAGACAUAAUGAAGACACAAUUUCACAGUCGCUUCUGUCCAUUUAUCAUUGCCCUCAUUUACGUGGUCCAAAUUAAAGAAACGGGCGUGAAUGCAGUUGAACCUGGUCACAUCAGAGAACCCGGUCCAGAUUCCUAUCCUUCAGAUUCUGUUCCCUGGAACCACUCACCGUACCAGCACUGUCUGUCUGUCUGAAUUCAGCCAGGGAAGCAGAACCACUCUGAGGAUGCUGGGGAGCAGCAGAGUCCUUGAAUGGAAUCAGCCUGAAGAGGACCCCGAGGAAGUUGUGCAUACCAGAGGGGCAGCCCAGAAAUCCGCUGCUGCUUCUGCUGCCCUCUGGAUGCUCUAAUCAAUCAACUGUACCGGCAAGACUUCUCAGAUGCAAACGCUGAGGAGCGUUAAGUGGCUUCUGAUCUGAGGUCCAGCACUGCCAGAGAAGGAGAGGCCGGAGCUCAAAUGAAAGUUCUGUGGGUCAGGAGUCCCGGCAUGGCUUAGCUGGGUGCCCUGCUCUGGGUGUCUCCUGCAGCUACAAUGGAGUUGCCAGCCAGGGCUGAUGUCUCCUCUCUUGGCUCAACCAGGAAGGAGCCACUUUCUGGUUCAUUCUUUUCUCCUGGGCUGUCGGACUAAGAGCUUCAGUUCUUCAUUGGCUGUCAGCCGGAGGCUGCCUUUGGGUCCUUCUCUCCAGUGUGGUAGCUGUAUCAUCAAAGUGUUUAAGCCAAGAAGGCACUUGAGAGAGUCUGCUAGCAAGACAGAAGUUGCAAUAUCUGUAAUCUAAUCACGGGAGCGACAUCACAUCACCUUUGCCAUGUUCUAUUCAUUAGAAGCCAGUCACAAGGUCACGUCCACCCUCAAGGAAGGUAAUUACACCAAUGACAGGUGGGGGUGGGCAUUGCACGCCCUCUUAGAAGUUGGCCUUCCACAGG